AAACCAACAGGGAUUGCCUCAGUAGCGGCGAGUGAUGUCAUAUCAAUAAGCGGAGGAAAAGAAACCAACAGGGAUUGCCUCAGUAACGGCGAGUGAAGCGGCAAAAGCUCAAAUUUGAAAUCCCCCGGGAAUUGUAAUUUGAAGAGAUUUGGGUCCGGCCGGCGGGGGUUAAGUCCACUGGAAAGUGGCGCCACAGAGGGUGACAGCCCCGUGAACCCCUUCAACGCCUUCAUCCCAGAUCUCCAAGAGUCGAGUUGUUUGGGAAUGCAGCUCUAAGUGGGUGGUAAAUUCCAUCUAAAGCUAAAUACCGGCGAGAGACCGAUAGCGAACAAGUACAGUGAUGGAAAGAUGAAAAGCACUUUGAAAAGAGAGUGAAAAAGUACGUGAAAUUGUUGAAAGGGAAGGGCUUGCAAGCAGACACUUAACUGGGCCAGCAUCGGGGCGGCGGGAAACAAAACCACCGGGGAAUGUACCUUUCGAGGAUUAUAACCCCGGUCUCUAUUUCCUUGCCGCCCCGAGGCCUGCAAUCUAAGGAUGCUGGCGUAAUGGUUGCAAGUCGC
rnacentral:rRNA from 1 species